rnacentral:rRNA from 1 species
GACGGAGGAUGCAAGUGUUAUCCGGAAUCACUGGGCGUAAAGCGUCUGUAGGUGGUUUAAAAAGUCCACUGUUAAAAAUUGAAGCUUAACUUCAAAGAUGCCGUGGAAACUUUUAAACUUGAGUAUGGUAGGGGUAGAGGGAAUUUCCAGUGGAGCGGUGAAAUGCGUAGAUAUUGGAAAGACCACCAAUAGCGAAGGCACUCUACUGGGCCAUUACUGACACUGAGAGACGAAAGCUAGGGGAGCAAAUGGG